rnacentral:tRNA from 1 species
GAUCAGCCCGGCCUGGCUGGCUAUGGCCUGGCUUUCACCAUCGGCCGCGGCAACGACGUGCAGAAGGCGGCGAUCGAUGCGCUGGCUGAUCA